rnacentral:misc_RNA from 1 species
AACGCACAUUGCGCCCGCCAGUAUUCUGGCGGGCAUGCCUGUUCGAGCGUCAUUUCAACCCUCAAGCCCCCGGGCUUGGUGUUGGGGAUCGGCGUGCCCUCGCGGCGCGCCGUCCCCGAAAUCUAGUGGCGGUCUCGCUGUAGCUUCCUCUGCGUAGUAGCACACCUCGCACUGGAGAGCAGCGCGGCCACGCCGUUAAACCCCCCACUUCUGAAAGGUUGACCUCGGAUCAGGUAGGAAUACCCGCUGAACUUAA